UACAGAGGGUGCAAGCGUUGCUCGGAUUUACUGGGCGUAAAGCGUACGCAGACGGCCGCGCAGGUCGGGUGUGAAAGCCCUGAGCUCAACUCAGGAAUUGCAUUCGAAACCAUGUGGCUCGAGUGUGGGAGAGGGUAGUGGAAUUCCCGGUGUAGAGGUGAAAUUCGUAGAUAUCAGGAGGAACACCGGCGGCGAAGGCGGCUACCUGGUCCACAACUGACGUUCAGGUACGAAAGCGUGGGGAGCAAACAGG
rnacentral:rRNA from 1 species